rnacentral:rRNA from 1 species
AACGAACGCUGGCGGCGUGCUUAACACAUGCAAGUCGAACGGAAAGGCCCUGCUUUGUGGGGGUGCUCUAGUUGCGAACGGGUGAGUAACACGUGAGUUACCUGCCCUUGACUGUGGGAUAACUUCAGGCAACUGGGGCUAAUACCGGCUAGGAGCUCCUGCUGCUUGGUGGGCGCUGGAAAGUUUCGGCGGUUGGGGGUGGACUCGCGGCUUAUCAGCUUGUUGGUGGGGUAGUGGCUUACCAAGGCUUUGACGGGUAGCCGGCCUGAGUGGGUGACCGGGCACAGUGGGACUGAGAUACGGCCAAGACCCAUACGGGAGCGAGAAGUGGGGAAUAUUGCACAAUGGGCGGAAGCGUGAUGCAGCACCGCCGCGUGCGGGAUGACGGCCUACGGGUUGGAAACGGCUUUCGCCUGUGACGAAGCGUGAGUGAAGGUAAUCGGUAAAGAAGGACCCGCUAAAUACGGG